AAUUCAAGUGUGGUUUUGUUAUCUGUGAAUACGAUGGAAGUUCCAUCCAUGUGUGCUCAAAAAACAAGGAAAAAUGGGUUUGAUUCACGCUUUGAGAGGAUAUUUUUACAGACUUCCGUGAUUUUGGGGCUCUGCAGUUACAGCUGAUGGUUCUGAAGGUGACUGAGCAGUAUUCAGAGCCUCUCUGCUCUUACCCAGCAGGUUCUGGGUACAAACUCUUUGGUUUCGGGUUUCCAGCUCCCACGAUGUUUGAGGUUUCUUUGGAACUGCAGUUCCCAGACAAACAAAUGCUUGAAAGAAUAAAGAUAAAUAAUGCAGCAGAAGGCUGAGUGCAGCAUCUCUCUGAGGGACAUUUCACCUUUCCUGCACACUGUGAGCACCAAAACUUGAUUUUAGGACCACAGAGAUGAGUGUGUAGGACAGAAAUAACUAAACCAGGAGGAGGGGAAGGUGCCUGUCUCAUCCAGGAAGGAGUUUUGAUACUGGGCGUCAUCUGAUGCUCAGGAAAGAUAGUGCCAAAGACCAGCAAGACGAUCAGGCACCACACUUGGUUCUGUUCUCAGCUGAAAAUCAGAGUGCAGAUCAGAUCUGAAGCCUGAGGUGAAACCAGCCUUGCAGAAAUGCCAUUAGCAUCACCAGUUAAACAAAGACACUUCUGGCAUCCAGUCUGUGCAUGACACUUUUAAAAUCCUUGGCUGGGUGGCCACGAGUCCCACAGCUCCAUAAAUCACUUCCCUGAGAAAGCACUUCCUAUGGAGUUGCUGUCUAAUAUAAUAAAAUAUCUCUUGGAUGUCAUGUCCCCU